AACGAACGCUGGCGGCAUGCCUAACACAUGCAAGUCGAACGAGACCUUCGGGUCUAGUGGCGCACGGGUGCGUAACGCGUGGGAAUCUACCCUUGGGUUCGGAAUAACAGUUAGAAAUGACUGCUAAUACCGAAUGAUGUCUUCGGACCAAAGAUUUAUCGCCCAGGGAUGAGCCCGCGUCGGAUUAGCUUGUUGGUGAGGUAAAAGCUCACCAAGGCGACGAUCCGUAGCUGGUCUGAGAGGAUGAUCAGCCACACUGGGACUGAGACACGGCCCAGACUCCUACGGGAGGCAGCAGUGGGGAAUAUUGGACAAUGGGCGAAAGCCUGAUCCAGCAAUGCCGCGUGAGUGAUGAAGGCCUUAGGGUUGUAAAGCUCUUUUACC
rnacentral:rRNA from 1 species